UCGCUUCUGGGCUUGUUCUCCGGCCAGGACGAUGAGGAGGCGGCGGGUUUCUUCGUCCGCUUCACGGAAGUUUUGGGUGGAGAGGUGCUGCUGUAGGAGGUCAAAGGAGAUGGCUUGGGUGGAGGAGGGUGUGGAGAGUGAAGUGGUGGGUGAGAUUGAGAAGGUUUUGGUGGAGGAGAGAGAAGAAAUGCUUAUGGUGUUUGGGGUGUUUGUGGUGGUGGGUUUGAGGAAGAGAGUGGAGGAGAGUGUGGAAGGAGCUAUCUCUGUGUGGUGGUGGUGGUUGAGGAGUGAGUGGUGAUUGUGGCAUAUGGAUUCGAAAGACUUG
rnacentral:lncRNA from 1 species